GACGAACGCUGGCGGCGUGCUUAACACAUGCAAGUCGAACGGAAAGGCCCUGCUUUUGUGGGGUGCUCGAGUGGCGAACGGGUGAGUAACACGUGAGUAACCUGCCCUUGACUUUGGGAUAACUUCAGGAAACUGGGGCUAAUACCGGAUAGGAGCUCCUGCUGCAUGGUGGUGGUUGGAAAGUUUCGGCGGUUGGGGAUGGACUCGCGGCUUAUCAGCUUGUUGGUGGGGUAGUGGCUUACCAAGGUUUUGACGGGUAGCCGGCCUGAGAGGGUGACCGGCCACAUUGGGACUGAGAUACGGCCCAGACUCCUACGGGAGGCAGCAGUGGGGAAUAUUGCACAAUGGGCGGAAGCCUGAUGCAGCAACGCCGCGUGCGGGAUGACGGCCUUCGGGUUGUAAACCGCUUUCGCCUGUGACGAAGCGUGAGUGACGGUAAUGGGUAAAGAAGCACCGGCUAACUACGUG
rnacentral:rRNA from 1 species